rnacentral:rRNA from 1 species
UGGGGAAUAUUGCACAAUGGGCGAAAGCCUGAUGCAGCGACGCCGCGUGAGGGAUGACGGCCUUCGGGUUGUAAACCUCUUUCAGUAGGGACGAAGCGCAAGUGACGGUACCUGCAGAAGAAGCACCGGCUAACUACGUGCCAGCAGCCGCGGUAAUACGUAGGGUGCGAGCGUUGUCCGGAAUUACUGGGCGUGAAGAGCUCGUAGGCGGUUUGUCACGUCGUCUGUGAAAUCCUAGGGCUUAACCCUGGACGUGCAGGCGAUACGGGCUGACUUGAGUACUACAGGGGAGACUGGAAUUUCUGGUGUAGCGGUGGAAUGCACAGAUAUCAGGAAGAACACCGAUGGCGAAGGCAGGUCUCUGGGUAGUAACUGACGCUGAGGAGCGAAAGCAUGGGUAGCGAACAGG